CCUCCGGGUGGCAGCAGUAGGGAAUUUUGCGCAAUGGGCGAAAGCCUGACGCAGCAACACCGCGUGAUCGAGACGCCCUUCGGGGUGUAAAGAUCUGUCAGUGGGGACGAAACUUGACGGUACCUGACCAAGAAGCCCCGGCUAACUACGUGCCAGCAGCCGCGGUAAUACGUAGGGGGCAAGCGUUAUCCGGAUUUACUGGGUGUAAAGGGAGCGUAGACGGCAUGGCAAGUCUGGAGUGAAAGCCCGUGGCCCAACCACGGGACUGCUUUGGAAACUGUGUUGCUGGAGUGCAGGAGGGGUAAGCGGAAUUCCUAGUGUAGCGGUGAAAUGCGUAGAUAUUAGGAGGAACACCGGUGGCGAAGGCGGCUUACUGGACUGUAACUGACGUUGAGGCUCGAAGGCGUGGGGAGCAAACAGGAUUAGAUACCCUUGUAGUC
rnacentral:rRNA from 1 species